AACGGCGGCAAACAAAUGCCGCCAUCUUGUUUCCCCCGCGUGGGUAGUUCCGCGCCCCCGGUCGCGCCGUCCCUCAGCGCUGAGGAGGGCGCGGCAGGACUACAGCUCCCAGCAUCCCUCGCGCGCCCCUGGCAACGGCGCGAGCUGCUGAGAGCAACUGGGAACGCGACUGCGAGAGCAGCGAACAGCCAGGGACGGGAAAGGGAGCACCGGGCGAGCCGGGAACGGGAGCACAGGGUUCGGCCAGGGACGGGACAGGGAGCACCGGGAACAGCUAGGGACAGGACAGGGAGCAGCGCGGGCAGCCGGGAACGGAGCGCCGGGAGCAGCGGGAACAGCCAGGGACAGGACAGGGAGCAGCGGGGGCAGCUUGGAGCGCCGGUGCAAGGCAGCUGUGGCCGAUUCUCCAUGGUGAAGAUGGUCAGAUAUAGAGAACUUAUUGCAGUAAUAGUGCAACAGCUUGACAAGUUUAACCCUGAAAAUCAGAACGUGGAGGAUUUCUUGAAUGAAUCAGCUGUGAUGUUGCAGACUCUUAAGAUGACAGAAGAAAAAUUUGUAUUGGAUACACUAGCAGGAUGCACAGAAUAUAAAUCCUUAUUGGAUGUUGUAGUCAAUGCCUUUUAUGCUGAGGAUGGGAGAUACUGCCUGAUUCCUGAGCGUAAUCUCUACAUAGUUAUCUGUUAUCUGGCUACUUUUCAACUAGAAGAGCUUGGUCUUCAGCACUUCAGCAGAAUUGUGAAGUCCUUAGACACUGCAAAAAUGCAAAAGUUUCUUAGAUUCUUCUUCAAUAAAUUGCAUUUGAACACAUGGAUAAAAGAUGAAUGGAGUCACUUCUACGAUUCACUGUAUGUAAAAGAGAAUUUGAUUGAUCCACUGCUAAGAUGGCAGCCAAAAGUCCAGCAACUGAUUGAACAACUCACAAAUAAAUUAAAUAAUUGUGCUACCACUGUCAAGACUUCUAAAGUCACUCAGCCAAAGGAAUUUAAUUUGACUGUGCCCAAACCACGUGCCAUUCCUCUACCUCUGCCAACAUAUCUUCCAGUACUGGAAAAAAGACGACCUGUUCCUCCAAGCACCUACAAACCUCCAAAGGAAAUAAAGCAACUAGAGGAAAUCAAAGAUAAAAAUUUCCAAAAAGCAAGCGAUCUGCUCCUGAAAGCAAAUACUGACCGGUUCAGGUGUGCAACCAUGAAGCCUGAAAAGAGAGAGAGCACACAUGACAGUAUGAAGAGUAAACCAUCAUUCCGGGCUCAGAAGAUCCAAAGUAAGAUUGACAAUAUACCCAUUAAAUUAAACACUGCAGCUAUUUUGAGGGAGGGUGCCCUCUAUCAGAGGAAAAUGGAAGACGAGCUCAAGAGAAUUGAAAAUUUGGAACAAGGGUUUGGAGACCCAUCUGAAUUCUUGGAAUGGCAAAAACAGAUGCGUGGAAAAGAUUUGGAAGAACAGCUGGCUGAAAUAGAGUGUAGGAGGCUUCAAGGGAAACUGAGUCAUGAAGAGGCAGUUCUAGCCCGUCAGAAUGUAAUUCAAGAAAACAAGAAGAAAGCUGAUCUGUUGAGGGAAGAGAAAGCAGAGCUGAUGCACCAGCAGGCAGAGAAACGUCUACAGGAACAGAAAGAAAUGAAAGAGCUGGCGGAGCAGGUCAUGGAAGGACACAAGAAUGUAAAGCAAGUAAAAACAAAGCUGCAGGAAUACAAACAGCAGAUAGCUCAGCAAGUUUCUGAAGAAAGUGGAGAACUUCUUCGGCAAGCUUUAAAAGAAGAGGAGGAGAAGGCUAAGAAAAGAUAUGAACUAAUUCAACAAAUACGAGCUCUUGAGUCUAUACCUGGCAUCAGACAUAAGUUUGUUGACUUAACAGAGACUGGUGGCCAUGGUUUAUUUUGUGAAAUGUCAAUAGUGGAACUACAUGAACGCCUCGCUCUACUCAAAGAAGCACAGAAGGCAGCAGAGGAAGAGAAGAGAGACCAGAUAAUUCAUGAAAAACAAGCUAAGGAACAACUUAUUCUAGAAAAACUGGACCAGAUUUCCCAAUUCAGAGCAGAACUUGGACGAGCAGCUGCUUUAAAGCAAGAAGAAAAGAAAAGAAAGUCCCAGUCUGGUGAAAGGCCCAUGAAAGAUGAACGCAUUUUAAACCUGCAGAGGAAGAUUGUAGAAAAAAAAAUGGAGCGUAAAAAGCAAGCAGGACUCUUAAAGAUUAUCCCCCAGAAAACCAGCAUCAUGCCAAGCAAGGAUUCUUCAGAAGGGAACCAUUGGAGAGAACUGGAAGAGAUUCAGGAAAGACAGUUCAAACUCCUUCAACAUGGCUUCAUGGCCAGAGAAGCAGCUCAGAAAAGGGCUGCCUGUGUGGCUGCAAGAAUUGGAACCACAACCUAUAUAUUGCGCUCUGAUAUACAGUAAAAUACACUUGGAACCAAUUCAGGCCUGCUGGAAAUCUCCCAACGUACCUAUGUACUACAAGGAAGUCUAAUGGAAUUCUUUUGUUGCCAUCUAGCUGUGAAGAUCAUUUCCACAACCCUCAAGUUGAUAAAAUGUGUUGUAUUUUUCACUCGAAGUAAAUGCUAUAGUAGUCCACAGAAGCAAUGCAAGUAGGGCUCAUGCUCCAUAACAAGAGUUAAGGAACACAGCUGAGUGAAAAGAAGGAAUCAUAGAAACAAAACUACAGAGAAAAGGGAACUAUGACAUCAUGUCAAGUAAGGGAUUGUAAUAUCUUUAAAUGACAAACCCUUGGUGGCAGGGAGUUUGUCUUCCCUUGUGGUUGUUCAGCAUUCUUUUGCACUGUAUUCCAGAGCAACAAAGCUAAGUGGUGACUCUAACACCUUGAUUUUCCAGAAGCCAGCAAUUAACAGCUGACAGUCACAGUCUAGGAUGUUGCAUAGCCAAAUAGUUCUUCUUAAACAUUUUCAAGAGAAUUUAAAAAUGCAAGAAAAAAGCAUCAUUAAGCAGAUAGGGAAGUCAUGUGGAAAUUUCAAACCCCCAUCAUACUGCAAGCUUCUUCCCCUGUCAUUUUGGACCAAGUUUUCAAAACUUUUACUGAAUUGCAAUCAAGCUGAUUCAUAACUAUUUCCUUCUCCAUAUUUUCCCUGCUCUCAAAUGAAAGGACUGAGGAAUAAAGGAAUCUCAAUAAUCCAGCUGUGGAAUUUUUACCUUCAGAAGUCACAAAUAGCCCUAUUGCUACUUUAGGAUCUGGUGCAUAAAGUCAUCUUCAGAUUCAAUGUUUUGAGGAAUAUAAAAGAAUGUAUUUUGAAGAAAAUAACAAUACAUUCCUAUUUUUAUAUCUA